rnacentral:lncRNA from 1 species
GGGUCCCCGCCUCCCUGCCCCCUCCUUCUCCGGGUUUCUCAGGAAGGUGGCGGCGGGGGUGCCGGGGGAGAGGUUGUCUGCGAAAGCCCGCGGCUAAAGCCCCGGGGCAAGGGAUGGGGGUGGGGCCGGGGAGUCGGAGAUCUGUUUACUAGAAAGUCCCAGGGUCGUGCGCGGCAGCUGCCCCGGCCUAGGCCCGGGUGCAUUGUGUUGGCCCGAGCCCCGUGCGCCCGCGGCGGCCCCGGGCCAGGUGCAGUGGCCGGACGGCUCCGUGCAGCUUUGUGCUCCGGUCGCUCGCGCGCAUAGCGCUCCAGCGCGGAGCUCUCCGCCGGCCCCCGCGCCCGGACCUUACUCUCCGGUCUCGGCGACCGCUGCCUGCCGAGCGAGAGGGCUGGGAGGCGGGGUACGGCAGCGUGGAAAAGUAACCGCGGCCGC